rnacentral:rRNA from 1 species
ACACGCAUGACACACUGCAUAUCAAUAAGCGGAGGAAAAGAAACUAACAAGGAUUCCCUUAGUAACGGCGAGUGAAGCGGGAAGAGCUCAAAUUUGAAAUCUUCAAGGUUUUACCUUGACGAAUUGUAGUUUAAAGAAGUGUUUUCUGUUGAAGUUUUGGUAAAAGUUCUUUGGAAUAGGACAUCAUAGAGGGUGAGAAUCCCGUAUUUGACCAUUAUUUUCAGCUGUGUGAUACACUUUCAAAGAGUCGGAUUGUUUGGGAAUGCAGUCCAAAAUGGGUGGUAAAUUUCAUCUAAAGCUAAAUAUUGGCGAGAGACCGAUAGCGAACAAGUACCGUGAGGGAAAGAUGAAAAGAACUUUGAAAAGAGAGUUAAACAGUACGUGAAAUUGUCAAAAGGGAAGCGUUUGACACCAGUGUUGUUUUUCCGAAAAUCAAUUACGAAUGUUUUAUUUUUGAGAAGUUAUGACUUCAUCGGCUUGCUUCUCUCUUUAUGAAACUUUCUUAAUGCACUUUUCGGUUAACAAGUCAACAUCAAUUUCUUUUGUUGUAAAAGGGUAUGAGGAAGGUGGCUUUCUUUUCGGAGAAAGUGUUUAUAGCCUUGUGCCUCUGCAAUCGGAGAGAUUGAGGUCUGCAGCGUAGAUCCUUCGGGGUUAGAUACAUUUGUGCUAAGUUAUAGCUUUUCAUAGACAACUUGUUGACUAUGUUUAGUCUUGUAGCUUACUCGCUUACUGCUAUUUUACCUACGCUUAGGAUGUUGAGUCGUAGAGCACGCAG